AUUUAGCUAUUGAGUCCCAAACAGGACGAAACGCACGUCCUGGAU
rfam:Schistosoma mattheei strain Denwood, Zambia genome assembly, scaffold: SMTD_scaffold0016109